rnacentral:rRNA from 1 species
ACGCACGCUGGCGGCGUGCCUAAUACAUGCAAGUAGAACGCACAGUUUAUACCGUAGCUUGCUACACCAUAGACUGUGAGUUGCGAACGGGUGAGUAACGCGUAGGUAACCUGCCUGGUAGCGGGGGAUAACUAUUGGAAACGAUAGCUAAUACCGCAUAAUAUUGAUUAUUGCAUGAUAAUUGAUUGAAAGAUGCUAUUGCAUCACUACCAGAUGGACCUGCGUUGUAUUAGCUAGUAGGUGAGGUAACGGCUCACCUAGGCGACGAUACAUAGCCGACCUGAGAGGGUGAUCGGCCACACUGGGACUGAGACACGGCCCAGACUCCUACGGGAGGCAGCAGUAGGGAAUCUUCGGCAAUGGACGAAAGUCUGACCGAGCAACGCCGCGUGAGUGAAGAAGGUUUUCGGAUCGUAAAGCUCUGUUGUAAGAGAAGAACGGGUGUGAGAGUGGAAAGUUCACACUGUGACGGUAUCUUACCAGAAAGGGACGGCUAACUACGUG